AGUGUACGCUGGCGGUAGGCCUAACACAUGCAAGUCGAACGGCAGCACAGUAGGAGCUUGCUCUUACGGGUGGCGAGUGGCGGACGGGUGAGGAAUACAUCGGAAUCUACUUUUUCGUGGGGGAUAACGUAGGGAAACUUACGCUAAUACCGCAUACGACCUACGGGUGAAAGCAGGGGAUCUUCGGACCUUGCGCGAUUGAAUGAGCCGAUGUCGGAUUAGCUAGUUGGCGGGGUAAAGGCCCACCAAGGCGACGAUCCGUAGCUGGUCUGAGAGGAUGAUCAGCCACACUGGAACUGAGACACGGUCCAGACUCCUACGGGAGGCAGCAGUGGGGAAUAUUGGACAAUGGGCGCAAGCCUGAUCCAGCCAUACCGCGUGGGUGAAGAAGGCCUUCGGGUUGUAAAGCCCUUUUGUUGGGAAAGAAAAGCAGCAGGUUAAUACCCCGCUGUUCUGACGGUACCCAAAGAAUAAGCACCGGCUAACUUCGUG
rnacentral:rRNA from 1 species